rnacentral:lncRNA from 11 species
AGCAAAAGCAGGAACAAAAAAAAUCCUUUGGCAGUGGAUGAAUAUUGCAACAUAAAUAUGUUUCUGAUGACAGAUUAUGCCAGGUCCCCCCCCCCCCCCAAAGAAGUGAAUGAGAGCCAACUUUGAAAAGACCUGGCUUCCUAUUAGGGUUAGGAAAGCUGUUGCAGCUUUAGGAUUAUUUCAAUUGAGUGUGAUCUUUGUAUCUAGUGCCACCUUGGGCUGAUGCAUUUAAAAGCAGUCUCAGCACGCAGCUAUGGGCUGAUGAACAG